rnacentral:misc_RNA from 1 species
UCUCCGUAGGUGAACCUGCGGAGGGAUCAUUACUGAGUGAGGGUCUCCGGGCCCGACCUCCAACCCUUUGUGAACACAACUUGUUGCUUCGGGGGCGACCCUGCCGUUUCGACGGCGAGCGCCCCCGGAGGCCUUCAAACACUGCAUCCUUGCGUCGGAGUCUUAAUGAAUUUAAACAAAACUUUUAACAACGGAUCUCUUGGUUCCAGCAUCGAUGAAGAACGCAGC